GUGCCAGCCGCCGCGGUAAUUCCAGCUCCAAUAGCGUAUAUUAAAGUUGUUGUGGUUAAAAAGCUCGUAGUUGAACCUUGGGCCUGGCUGGCCGGUCCGCCUCACCGCGUGCACUGGUCCGGCCGGGCCUUUCCCUCUGUGGAACCCCAUACCCUUCACUGGGCGUGGCGGGGAAACAGGACAUUUACUUUGAAAAAAUUAGAGUGCUCUAGGCAGGCCUAUGCUCGAAUACAUUAGCAUGGAAUAAUAAAAUAGGACGCGCGGUUCUAUUUUGUUGGUUUAUAGGACCGCCGUAAUGAUUAAUAGGGACAGUCGGGGGCAUCAGUAUUCAACUGUCAGAGGUGAAAUUCUUGGAUCAGUUGAAGACUAACUACUGCGAAAGCAUUUGCCAAGGAUGUUUUCAUUAAUCAGGAACGAAAGUUAGGGGAUCGAAGACGAUCAGAUACCGUCGUAGUCUUAACCAUAAACUAUGCCGACUAGGGAUCGGACGGUGUUAUUCAUGACCCGUUCGGCACCUUACGAGAAAUCAAAGUGCUUGGGCUCCAGGGGGAGUAUGGUCGCAAGGCUGAAACUUAAAGAAAUUGACGGAAGGGCACCACCAGGGGUGGAGCCUGCGGCUUAAUUUGACUCAACACGGGGAAACUCACCAGGUCCAGACACAAUAAGGAUUGACAGAUUGAGAGCUCUUUCUUGAUUUUGUGGGUGGUGGUGCAUGGCCGUUCUUAGUUGGUGGGGUGACUUGUCUGCUUAAUUGCGAUAACGAACGAGACCUUAACCUGCUAAAUAGCCCGCAUUGCUCCGGCAGUGCGCUGGCUUCUUAGAGGGACUUUCG
rnacentral:rRNA from 1 species